UUUAAGACUUGGUAGCAGAUUACAGUAAGGAUGCCUUUUAUAUUAUGUAUGUUCCUGUGUGCCCGGCUAAAUUGUAUAUGUGUAUGCAGCAUUCACUGAUUGUUCGGUAGAAUCACUCCAUUCAUUAUAUUGAGUGAAACUACCGAACAGCCAGACCACCCGGGAAUAAGUGUGCCUCCAAUUACCCGUUUGCAACAUUGUUGCAAACGG